rnacentral:rRNA from 1 species
UACAGAGGGUGCGAGCGUUAAUCGGAAUUACUGGGCGUAAAGGGCGCGUAGGCGGUCCUGAUCGUCGGAUGUGAAAGGCCUGGGCUCAACCUGGGAACUGCAUCCGAUACGGCGGGACUGGAGUGUGGGAGAGGUUGGUGGAAUUCCCAGUGUAGAGGUGAAAUUCGUAGAUAUUCGGAAGAACACCAGUGGCGAAGGCGGCUCACUGGACUGGUAUUGACGCUGAGGUGCGAAAGCGUGGGGAGCAAACAGG